UAUUUUAAUCUAUCCUAAAUAUAAAAAGAUAUUUAUUCACUAAAAAGACGAAAAGACCCUAUUGAACUUAACUAAAGUUAAACUGGGGCAGUUAAUUAAUUAAUAUUUUAAUUACUUUAACAAAAAAAAAUCCUAAUAAAAUUAACAUAAUCAAGUUACCAUAGGGAUAACAGCGUAAUAAUUUUCUUAAGCUCUUAUUUAAAAAAUAAUUUGCGACCUCGAUGUUGAAUUAAUUACCUAAUAAAUGCAACAAUUUAAUAAAGGAAGUCUGUUCGACUUUUAAUUAAUUACAUGAUUUGAGUUCAGACCGGUGUAAGCCAGGUCGGUUUCUAUCUUCUAA
rnacentral:rRNA from 1 species